rnacentral:rRNA from 1 species
UUUGACUGUGCUAAGGUAGCAUAAUCAAUAGUUUCUUAAUUAGAAGCUGGAAUGAAUGAUUGGAUGAAAUAAAAACUGUCUUAAUAUUAAUAAUUAAAAUUUUAUUUUUAAGUUAAAAAGCUUAAAUAAUUUUAAAAGACGAGAAGACCCUAUAGAGUUUUAUAUUUUAUAUAUAUUUUAAUUUAUAUUUUAAUAUUUAAUUAUAUUUAAAAUAUUUUAUUGGGGUGAUAGAAAAAUUUAAAAAACUUUUUUUUUAUAAAAACAUAAAUUUAUGAAUAAAUGAUCCAUUAAUAAUGAUUAAAAGAUUAAAUUACCUUAGGGAUAACAGCGUAAUUUUUUUAAAGAGUUCAAAUCGAAAAAAAAGAUUGCGACCUCGAUGUUGGAUUAAAGUUAAGUUUUGGUGUAGAAGCUAAAAUUUUAAGUCUGUUCGACUUUUAAAACUUUACAUGAUCUGAGUUUAAACCGGUGUGAGCCAGGUUGGUUUCUAUCUUUAAAAAAUUAAAAUAUUUUAGUACGAAAGGACCAAGUAUUUAAUAAUAUAUUUAAAAUUUUAUGAAUAAAAUUGUUAUUUUGGCAGAAUAGUGCAAUAGAUUUAGAAUCUUUAUAUGUAAUUUUUACAAAUAAUAUUUGAUAUUUAAAGAUUUACUAAUAAUUAUUAUUUCUAGGUUAAUUUUAGUUA